rnacentral:rRNA from 1 species
CAGCAGCCGCGGUAAUACGUAGGGUGCGAGCGUUAAUCGGAAUUACUGGGCGUAAAGCGUGCGCAGGCGGUUUUGUAAGACAGGCGUGAAAUCCCCGGGCUCAACCUGGGAAUGGCGCUUGUGACUGCAAAGCUAGAGUGCGGCAGAGGGGGAUGGAAUUCCGCGUGUAGCAGUGAAAUGCGUAGAUAUGCGGAGGAACACCGAUGGCGAAGGCAAUCCCCUGGGCCUGCACUGACGCUCAUGCACGAAAACGUGGGGAGCAAACAGGAUUAGAUACCCGAGUAGUCCCUGUCUCUUAUAC